UCGUCUAGGUGAGAGUGACCUUCGUCGUCCAAGAGGUGAUGGUGAUCUAUGAUGGCGCCCAGGAGAAGGUGAUUUGUGUCGAGGCCCGGGAGAAGGUGAUCUGUGUCGAGGCCCGGGGGAAGGUGAUCUACGUCGGCGCCCAGGGGAAGGUGAUCUACGCCGACGCACAGGGGAAGGUGAUCUACGUCGACGUACUGGAGAAGGUGGUCUACGCCGUCGCACAAGAGAAGGUGAUCUACGUCGUCGAAAAGAUGGUGAUCUACGAUGAACUGGAGAAUGCAUUCUACGUCGUACAGGAGAAGGAGAUCUAGAUCUUCUUGAAUAAGGUAUCCUCCUAUAAGGAGAACGUCGUGGUGAAUGCCUGUGAGGAGAAAUAGACCGUCGUCGUGGAGAAUGACGA
rnacentral:lncRNA from 1 species